CGAUGCUAGCCCUAGGGGGUAUACGGCCGCCGCCGGAGGUACGAAACUCUGCAUUAUAGUGGCAUCUCUGAGUAAAACACAAAUAAGUUAAAACUUUCAACAACGGAUCUCUUGGUUCUGGCAUCGAUGAAGAACGCAGCGAAAUGCGAUAAGUAAUGUGAAUUGCAGAAUUCAGUGAAUCAUCGAAUCUUUGAACGCACAUUGCGCCCGCUAGUACUCUAGCGGGCAUGCCUGUUCGAGCGUCAUUUCAACCCUCAAGCCCUGCUUGGUGUUGGGGCCCUACGGCUGCCGUAGGCCCUGAAAGGAAGUGGCGGGCUCGCUGCAACUCCGAGCGUAGUAAUUCAUUAUCUCGCUAGGGAGGCUUGCGGCGCGCUCCGGCCGUUAAAGACCAUCUUUAACUCAAGGUUGACCUCGGAUCAGGUAGGAAUACCCGCUGAACUUAAGCAUAUCAUAGAGCGCGGGAGGACAUCGUUAAUAGAAGCCGAAAGGCUACUUAAAACCAUCGCGAACACGUCCAAGUUGCUUCGGCGGUCGGGGCCCCCCAUCUGGGGCCCCCUCGAGUGCCGGUGAGCCCCCGAGGGUCUCCCUGGGGGUUAUACGGCGCCGCCGGAGGUACAAAACUCUGCAGUAUAGUUGGCAUCUCUGAGUAAACACAAAUAAGUUAAAACUUUCAACAACGGAUCUCUUGGUUCUGGCAUCGAUGAAGAACGCAGCGAAAUGCGAUAAGUAAUGUGAAUUGCAGAAAUCGUGAAUCAUCGAAUCUUUGAACGCACAUUGCGCCGCUAGUACUCUAGCGGGCAUGCCUGUUCAGCGUCAUUUCAACUCAAGCCUGCCUGGGUGUUGGGGGCCUACGCUGCGUAAGGCCCUGAAAAGAAAAUGGCGGGCUCCUGCACCUCGACCUAAUAUUCAUUAUCUCCUAGGGAGGCUUGGGCCGCUCCGCCGUUAAGACACUCUUACUCAAGUGACUCGAUCAGGUAGGAAUACCGCUGACCUAAGCAUAUCAUAAGCGGAGGAAG
rnacentral:rRNA from 1 species